UUAAAAAAAAAAAAUUUAAUCAACAUAUCGGCGACAUGUCGUGCCAGUAUUAUUUUCAAAAAAUCGCUUGUCAAUAUGUGUCGGUGCAUCAUUUGCAUCUAUUUUUAGGUUAAUGAAUUCUUAAUAUAAAUCAUUAGAUCAGAUUAUUAACUGAUAUUCUAUGUCCUAACUCCUCAACUGAGCUUGGAUUGAUAUGGGAGCUUCAUAUAUUGAAUUAGAUAAACCAGCUUCUCCAAUGGAAUCUGAGGAAGGGACCGCAAAAGAUUUGAUGACAAAUUCUUCCCUUUCCAUUGAAAAAGUUCAUCAUGAUACAUCAAACAAUCCAUCUUCCUCUAUCUCUUCCUCACCAGAUUCCACAUUAGACGAUCACAUUUGCGAUCUCAAUAAAAAUAGUGAUGAGACAAUUUCUGGAAAUUUUGUUUCCAAAUAUGAACUAUCUGAUAACGGAUCAUCGUGUGCUACAUCGCUAGCGGCAUUUACAAGUCAAAUGCCUCCAGCCAAUGUAUCAGCAACACAAUCACCCUCUCCACAAGUGAUGGAGCGUCCAGCGGCUCUGCCUGGCGCAUCUUCGUAUAGAAUCCCAUCUUCCGUGUUUGAUAGAAGUAAGUCGUCAACCCCAAUGGAGUGGAGUGUAUGUUCGAAUGAAUCGUUGUUCAGCAUUCACACAGGAAAUAUGAGUUUUAGAAAUGAUCCCUUCUUUUUGCGAUCGGGUGAAUUGGGUCCACCAGGAGAAGUAUCUACAUCCGGUCAGAUGUUUAAUUACUCAACUGUCCAGGCUUCAGGUACUGAACCCAAAAGUCAUGAGUUUGGAGUAGUGGAGGCAAGCAUUAAGGAAGUAAUUCGAGAAAGUGAAGAUCAAAAGAACGAAAGCUGGAUGCCUGAGGAAAUUAUGUCUCGUCGUUCUCGAGAGAGUAGAACAAGUGCCAAAUCUUUUGCAUUUCCAAUUAUCAAUAUCGUGGCAUCAUCAAGAACAGCUGAAUCAUUUUAAUACCUUAAGAUUGAUAGGAGACAUAGACCAUUGUGCUUCAGAGAGGACGGCUAGUUCAGUUAAGGUAGCUCCGGAGCAGCAGGAAUCUCAAGCACAGCAAACGCAGAAGCAAGAGCCCGAGUCAAGCGCACAGCCCAAGCCAAAAACCUCCUCAGAAACUGAAAAACCAGCUCCUUCCAAAUGGUUUUCUUGGUUUAAAUGCUGCUCCUUCUGUAAGUGAAAAUGAGUUUUGCCAAAAUUAUUGCCUUAAGCGAGCAAAACUCAGAGGAUCCAUCGACAUGAAACUGGAAUACAGUGGAAGGAUAAGCCUACCCAAAAUUUACCGGAUGUUUACAAGCACUUUCUCUGCACAUCGGCUGGAUGAAAUCGACGAGCUUUCUAGCAGAUGAAACGGAAAAUAUUGUUGUAGAGCAAUGACCAUGUUAUGUGGCUUGGAAUAUAGAAAUAUGGUAGGAAUAUUAGAAGUUAGUUAAUGUGAAUUGAAUAUUAAGCGUGACUUAUGCAUAUGUACAAUUACAGGUUCAAUACAUCAGUCUUAUAGUAUUUAUUGAUUCAAGGAUUGAUCAGAAUAUCUGAUUUUUUAUAUUGAAUUUUGCAAGAAUUGAUUAGGAAAAAUUUUCAAUUAGUAUGAAUGUACUUUUAUAUCAUGCUUGAUACUUCAGAAUCCAAGUUUAAUUUGUCACAAUCAGUUCAUUAAACUUCAAUUUACUUUUAAUGUUAGUCAUUCUGGUAGCCCAGCUGCUGAACUUAUCACCCUUCUAUUUGUUUUUGUUUUUUUGUUUUUUCAAUUGUAAGUUUUUAUUUUAGAUGCGGUUCAAUCCAUUUUCUAGUGAAGAUAAGAAAUAAAAAAUAAAUGGAUUGUGUUGUGAAAUAGUUAAUCAAGAAAUCAUUACCUCUUGCUAACUUGUGAGCUAAAUGGAGUUGAAGAAAUCUUUCCUGCAGCUGAGGCGGGAUGAUUAAACAGAACUCCAUUUGUUCAGUGCUGCUAUUUGAUUGUACAGAUUGUUUAUUUUGAGGAACUUCAAUUGUUGCUUUUAUGGAUUUUGCAAUAGCAUGAUUUGUCCAGCUGCUCUGUUUGUCACUGGACCUCAGGAUUAUACUUAGCUUAAGUGAUGUGCUGCCCGUGUAUUGGCUUUUUCUCUAUUGUUGGUAUCUGUAUUUUGAUUACUAAGUUUAACUUCUAGUUGAGUAAACCUCCUCUUAUCUCUUUAUUUUUAAGUGAGCACAUGGAAAAUAGUUACAGUAAUCGGUGGCAUUAUUUGAGAUAUAGGAUUCUUUUAUGUAAUCUGGACAUAAUUGAAGUUUAGUCUUUAGCAUUUUCCCUUGUUGCUCACCCCCUUUUUAAUGCCAUCUUUAAAAGUCUUUUAGCUAUUAUCUAUAAGUUGCAAAUCUACGUAUGUAUGUUUUGGUUAUUUGCUAAAUCUGUAACGUUCUGUAUAUGUUUCCUUUAUCUCCUGAGGUGCUUGAUGGUAACAUUUCAAAUGUCCGACGCCUCCUUUGAUAGUUCUGGGUUCGUUACAUUGUCGCCUUGCAUGCCAUUUAGUAUUUAAUUGGCUCAAAUGGUUUGGUUAUCUUUAAGUUGAGCUAUUUGUGAACUGGUAUUGAAAGUUGAACUUU